rnacentral:lncRNA from 1 species
GUGUCUCAGUCCUACCAUGUCCUGUGAUUAAUGUUAAUGGAAAACUACAACCUAGUUCAGGUAAGACUGCUAAUGGCUCAGAUGUGUCAGGACUAUUUGAGUCAUCCCGCCAGACAAGCACUACAACCAGCUAAAGUGUUUGCUAAGGGCAAAGUGGAUAUGAAAUGUGCAGUGAAAGAAGGUAGUUAUAAAUACCAGCAAUGAUCACAUGACCAGUUGUAGGAAUGUGGACAGUAAUAGUAUGAGUAAUUCUUCCUUAUUUGGUUAUGAACAUUUGUAGAUAUAUAACCAAAUAUUAUUUCCUUUCCUCUCUUAUCCCCUAUUGUCUAACUUUAGAUGUAUUAAUAAUAGUUAACUUCAUAUCACAGUGUUUGAAUUACAGAAUACAAAGGAAGAGUGAACCUCACCCAAAGACUCUAUAUCCUUUCCUGGGGAAAGAGCAUAUUUUCCGUUGUACGCGGGUUAAUGUUUCAUGUCAGGUGGAAGUAUGACUUUGUUAUUGUCUUUAUUUGAAGAGUAAGUGUGAUUUAAGGAACUGUGUGUGGGUGCCAAGUUGAUAAGGGGUGACCUGUUAUGGUCAGUUUUAUGCAUCAACUUGGCUGGACUACAGUUACUUAAUCAAACACUAGGUGUUGCUGUGAAGAUAUUUUGUAGAUGCAACCAAAAUCCAUAUCAGUUAACUUUAAGUAAGGGAGAUUAGCCUAGUUAAUCUGGAUGGGCCUGAUUUAAUCAGUUGAAAGGCCUUAAGAGUGGAGCUGAGGUUUCCCUGAAGAAGAAAAAAUUCUGCCUGCAGAUGGCAGUUUCAGCUCAUGCCCGAGAAUGUUAGCCUGCCCUUCCUGAUUUCAGAUUAUCUGGACAGUCCACAAUCACGCCUCUGACUAGACCAGUUACCCCAGGAGUAUGAUUAUUCUUCUGUUCAACAACUUCUCCUUCCACAUGAAGUGGAUGACCAAAUGCAAUGCCUGAAGUCCCACCCAUUAAGAAAAAUGUCCCUUGCCAGUGCCUUUCAAAGCCAGCCCUGUGUGAAGCUGCUGUGUAACGCUGCUGCUUUCCAUUUCAGUUUGCACCCACAUAGAGAGCCAACAAACUGUAAGCCAAGCUCCG